GCAAGUCGAACGAUGAAGCCCUUCGGGGUGGAUUAGUGGCGAACGGGUGAGUAACACGUGGGCAAUCUGCCCUUCACUCUGGGACAAGCCCUGGAAACGGGGUCUAAUACCGGAUAAUACUUCCUCCCUCCUGGGAGAAGGUUGAAAGCUCCGGCGGUGAAGGAUGAGCCCGCGGCCUAUCAGCUAGUUGGUGGGGUAAUGGCCUACCAAGGCGACGACGGGUAGCCGGCCUGAGAGGGCGACCGGCCACACUGGGACUGAGACACGGCCCANACUCCUACGGGAGGCAGCAGUGGGGAAUAUUGCACAAUGGGCGAAAGCCUGAUGCAGCGACGCCGCGUGAGGGAUGACGGCCUUCGGGUUGUAAACCUCUUUCAGCAGGGAAGAAGCGAAAGUGACGGUACCUGCAGAAGAAGCGCCGGCUAACUACGUGCCAGCAGCCGCGGUAAUACGUAGGGCGCAAGCGUUGUCCGGAAUUAUUGGGCGUAAAGAGCUCGUAGGCGGCUUGUCACGUCGGUUGUGAAAGCCCGGGGCUUAACCCCGGGUCUGCAGUCGAUACGGGCAGGCUAGAGUGUGGUAGGGGAGAUCGGAAUUCCUGGUGUAGCGGUGAAAUGCGCAGAUAUCAGGAGGAACACCGGUGGCGAAGGCGGAUCUCUGGGCCAUUACUGACGCUGAGGAGCGAAAGCGUGGGGAGCGAACAGGAUUAGAUACCCUGGUAGUCCACGCCGUAAACGUUGGGAACUAGGUGUUGGCGACAUUCCACGUCGUCGGUGCCGCAGCUAACGCAUUAAGUUCCCCGCCUGGGGAGUACGGCCGCAAGGCUAAAACUCAAAGGAAUUGACGGGGGCCCGCACAAGCAGCGGAGCAUGUGGCUUAAUUCGACGCAACGCGAAGAACCUUACCAAGGCUUGACAUACACCGGAAAGCAUCAGAGAUGGUGCCCCCCUUGUGGUCGGUGUACAGGUGGUGCAUGGCUGUCGUCAGCUCGUGUCGUGAGAUGUUGGGUUAAGUCCCGCAACGAGCGCAACCCUUGUUCUGUGUUGCCAGCAUGCCCUUCGGGGUGAUGGGGACUCACAGGAGACUGCCGGGGUCAACUCGGAGGAAGGUGGGGACGACNUCAAGUCAUCAUGCCCCUUAUGUCUUGGGCUGCACACGUGCUACAAUGGCCGGUACAAUGAGCUGCGAUGCCGCGAGGCGGAGCGAAUCUCAAAAAGCCGGUCUCAGUUCGGAUUGGGGUCUGCAACUCGACCCCAUGAAGUCGGAGUUGCUAGUAAUCGCAGAUCAGCAUUGCUGCGGUGAAUACGUUCCCGGGCCUUGUACACACCGCCCGUCACGUCACGAAAGUCGGUAACACCCGAAGCCGGUGGCCCAACCCCUUGUGGGAGGGAGCUGUCGAAGGUGGGACUGGCGAUUGGGACGAAGUCGUAACAAGGUANCCGUACCGGAAGGUGC
rnacentral:rRNA from 1 species